CACAGACUGAAUAGGUGGUCUGGUUGUAUGUGCAGGUUUCUAACUUGGUUCCUGCACAUUCAUAGUAGUUAUGGUACAGUAGAGUUUUGACUAUGGUAUUCCUUACGUGGGCAUCCUUCUAGAGAUUUCUCCCCUUUUAGUGUAGGCAGAAAUGGUAACAACAUUAGCGUAUGUAAUAGAAACAUGCUUACACUACACGUGGGAAUGGCAAACCUUCCUCUGGAAAAAAAAAAAAAAAAAGAAAAGAAAAAAAGAAAAAGAAAAUUCAGUUCACUAGGCAGCUAUUUACCGCUGGAUAAUUUGCACAUACUUGAAUUCUCUCAAGAACUGUUAAAUUCCCUGCAGGUAGUUCCACAGUUGUGCUCCAGCUUCUUCUCCCCAGGAUGUAUUUUACAGAUUUGAGAAUGAGCCACCACGCCUGGCCCCUUUUCCUUUCCAUAAAAAUUCAGAACAAGCUUGUCAAUGUCUACAAACAAACCUGCUGAGAUUUUGAUAAGUAUUGAAUUAAACCUAUAAGUUGGUUUAGGGAAAAUCUGUAUCUUUACUACAUUGAGUCUUUCAAAACAUGAACAUAGUAUCCCUCUCCAUUUCUUUAGGUUUUCUUUUGUCACCCGAAAAUAGAGGCCCUUCUAUUUCUUGCCGUCCAAUCUGUAUGCCUUUAAUUUUUUUCUCAUCUAUAGCACUGAGACAUCCAAUAUGAUGUUGAAUAAGAAUGGUGAGAGUGGAUAUUUUUGUAUUGUUUCUGAUCUUGGAGGAAAGCAUUCAUUUUUUUCACCAUUAAGUGUGAUUUAGCUGAAGGUUUUUUGUAUAUAUUUUUUUCCACAGAGGUGGGUCUAACUCACCUUAGUGUCUCCAUCACUCCCAGCACAGGGCCAGCUGCAUCACUGAUACCCAAUAAAUGCCUCAUGAGUAUGAUGGGAGAUGAUGCAGCAGAUUGUUCUGAUUGUGUGUGGGUUUUCACCUGUCUUGCUCUGGCAUAGCACUUCUUGCUGUGUGUAUAGCAGAAGGAAGGUAAAGAGGUGCUGGUUUUAAUUUUCCAUGUUUUACUCUACUCAGUUUCUUUGGGGCCUA
rnacentral:lncRNA from 10 species